ensembl:lncRNA
GGGCCGCGGUCGGGAGGCCAGAUACCAGCACACUCCGGUUUGCGGUUGGUCCCCGCGAGCUUUGUCGAGGCUCAGGCACGAUGGUGGGGCGAGGCCCACGAGCGCCUUCUCUGGCCCUACAUCCAGGUCCGAAAAAUGCGAAGUAGCCUGUGGCUGUUUGUGAGGCAAACUUACUGAACCAGUACUGGUGAUAUUGCACCACUAUGAAUAUUUCGAGGACUUGCUGAUUCAUGUUUGCAUCUCUAAUGCCUACUGAAAUCUGAGUACCUGUUCAUUCAUUCAUUCAAGAAUUAUUCGUUGAUAGCCUGUAAUAUACCAGGAGAACACUGUGGCGUAGCUGUGCACAUCAGGCCAAUUUCCAGAUUUCAGGGACUUUUACUUUUUCUGAUGAGUCUCCAGAUGAAAACUCAGCUUAGCUGAUACCUUCACUUCUACCUCGUGAUACGCUGACUAGAGGAGCCAGUCACACCAUGCCUGAUGUCAAAACUACAGAAUUGUGUGAUCUCAAUGGUGAGGUGACAUGGCUGGGAGUAGACCUUCCAUAACAAGAAGGCGGUUCCUUUAGGAGAGGCUGACAUAGCAGGUUAAAAAGGUGUAUCUUCCCUAUAAACUUGCUGAACAUAGUUGGGUAUAUUGGUUCCACUGUUUUUUAUCAUUAAUACUCUGUGAAUGUGGGAUUUAGAAUAAGUAGCUAAUUUAUUUGUCAUUUUGGGACUUGAGAAUACUUCAAAGCUAAGUAUGUGACUCAGUAAUCAUUUUGUGAUGUUCAGUUUAGAGUUGUUGAGAGAUGACUUUUUUUUGGGGAGGGUAAAAUAUUUUACUUUCUAAUAAGUUUAAUUUAGUAGUUUGAAUAAUCAGAAUUAUGUUUAUUUCAAGGGAGUUAGGUUGAAUCCAAAUGUGUAGAGACUUCUUGAGAAAAAUAUAAAACGCAAAUCGAACUUUUAUACAUUAUCCUUUGUUUUCUUUUCCUGCUGUAAAAUGUUUAAAUGUUUCCUUGAAACUCUUAACACUGAUCUCUAUAUAAAUUCUUUUAAACUAUGCUAUCAUGCAUUGUAUUUUUAGGAUAACUGCAUAUUGUAUUAACUCAAAAUAGGUCAAUGAUCUUCUUUAAUUACUUGUUAGCUGGAAAGUUGAAGCCACAGCUGUGGUUCCUAUUCUCAUUUUUUCUUUUCUCUGUGACUCAGAUUCCUUAUCUCAAAACCUUUUCUUGACUCCAUAUCUGGACCCUUCUUCUCAUGUCCGAUCAUCUUGUUUCCUUUAAUUCUCAUCCUUGACCUUUCCUCAUCUUAGUUUUCUAUGAGGACCUUUCUUCCUUCUUGUAGCCGUUAUUUUACCUUCCUCUCCAGCACCUUCUCUCAUGGAUCAUUUCUUUCCACGACUACCACCCCCCAGCUUUAAGAAAUUAAUUUCUUUCCUCUUCUAUUUCCUUUUUAGGAAAUAAUUACGUAACUCUAGAAAUGUAUAAAUUCCUCACAAAGAUUGGGCCAGGAUGUAAGUGAUUCGUACAAGUUCAGAUCUCUUCCUUUAUUUUCCUUUCUAAUUAAGAACCUUCUCCCAUCCUCAGCAUAGAUGAUCAAUACAUUCUCUUUAUCAGCCAACCUUUAUCUUCUCUCUCAACCUCUGUGUCCUACUUCAUCACUGUAAAUUGCUAAAUGUCUGUUUAAUACAAGAGCUGGGUUAUGCAGAAGUUGGAACAUUCAGGAUGUUGUUUAGGAAUUUUACCUGCAUUUUCUAGGUUCUUAUGAGAGAUCUGCUGGAAAAACAAUAGAGGGACAUAUGGUUCUGUUGGACCUCUGUGCGCAUGAGUAUAAAUGACCAUGUGGGUGCACAACUUGGUGAGCAGAAGAGACCUUCAUGCAAUUUGGAAUAAAGGUGGCCUUUCUUGUGGAAGAACGUCACCUUGUGUCAAGGUUUAUGGCUAGAAAAGGGGUGUGAAGGCUGCAUCUAGCCUCAGCUCUUCAGCUAGUGUUGACAAAAUAUCGGCUGCCUCUGUACACCGAUGCCAAAUAGAAACUCAGAGACAAGAGUUGGAGGAAACAGAAAAAGUAACUUUAAUUGCCAGGCAAAGAGGGGAACACAGCAGGCUAGUACCUCAAGGACUAUGCCACCCCUUGGAGGAGUAGUGAGGAGUCUUAUAGCAUUGGAGGAGCAGGGCGUGAUUAGCUCAUGGACAUUUUCCUGAUUGGUUGGUGGUGAGUCGUUAGGAGUGGGUGUCAUCAACCUUCUGGUUCCAGCUGGUCUGGGUUCUACGUUUUGUGGGCAGCAUACACUUGACUGCUUCCACGGGGUGGGGGCUUCAGCACCUGCAAAACAGAUCCAAGGACAUGGCUCAGAAUAUUAUCUAUAGUCUUUGAAAAAGAACUGAGUGUCCUUGACCUCGUUGAAUGUCCAAAUUAUUAUUAUUGUUUUCUUUUUUUUCUGUAUUUCCUCUCUUCUCUGAUUAAAUUGGUUUUUUGCCUAAAGUUUUUCUGCAGAUAGAAAGGCAGGUGGAGGACAUGAGCGGGGUCCACUCUGGGAAGGCCUCCCGGGUCCUGUUUGGUUGUUCUAGGCCCUUCUGUGCAGUGAAGAACCUGCACAAUCAUAUGUUGCCUCCCCCCGGGAAGAGCAACUCCAGUAAAUGUAAAACAGCAGAGGGUAAAGAGUCAGGUGUAUGUUGUGAAAGGUAACAGCAAUUCUUAUUUCCUUGGAGACAAUUGAAAUUUACUAAACAUCUUUUUCAAGCCAAUUAUUCAAAGUGUAAUGAAUGUUCAUUAGGGUUUAUAAUAAAUUAGGCAUUAGAAAUGUGUAUUUCAGUAGGAAAUGAGAGUAAAAUUGGGAAAGACAGGUAGAUGGAGUAGAGAACAUUGUUUGGCAGACUUUUUGUUAAAAUGCCAGAUGGUAAAUAGUUUAGGCUUUGUGGACCAUACAAGCUUUCUGUUGCAACUCUUAAACUCGGCUCAAAAGCAGCCAUAGAAAUUAUGUAAAUAAGGAGUUUUCCUGUGGCUUAGCGGGUUAAGGAGCUGGUGUUAUUCCUGCAGUGGCUUGGAUCACUGCUCCGGUGCAUGUUUGAUCCCUGGCCCGGGAACUUCCAUGUGUUUCAAGUGCUUCCAAAAAUAUGUAAAUGAAUGGGCAUGGCUGUGUUCACUUUAUUUACAAAAGUGAGCUGGGGGUGUAAUUUGUGAAUUCCUAGUAUAGAGUAUUAGGACAAAAUGGUUCACUGAGGCAUUUGGUUUGUAUGAAUCUGCUGUUAAUAAGGAAGAGCUCUAAAUCUGAAUAACAAGUAUUCAUAAAUUGUCAGAUUAAUUCCACACAGGAUGAAAAACAAAUUUUGAUGACUGAUUUUAAUUUAUAGAUUUAUAAACACCAGGAAUGGAAGUUUUAUUUGUCAGGGAUUUAUUUCUCUAUUAAAUCUCCUGUAAUAUAUACACUUGAAAAGAUAAAAAACUGGACUAACAGACCACAUUUCAUAUAAACUGUUACUCUUUAAACUUCUCUUGCAGUGCUCAAUUUAAACAAUAUAUAAUGAAUGUAUAUUAUGAGUCUCUGGAUCAUGGUGAAUUUUAUUCCCUUUCCUUCAUAACAGCCAGCUGAUAUCAGAACUGAUCUUUCUUGGAACUGGCCUUGCUAAUGGAAUUCAUAUGGUUUGCUCAGAUAAGUAAUUCUUUGGGGAAAACUCAUUAUAAGCAAAAUACUUGAAAAGAUAUGAGAAAGGGCAACAGUUGGGCUAUAAAAACAGAGUUUAUAUUUUUGCACGGAAAAAAUUUUAUGGUCCUAGCAUUUUACUCGUUCCCAAAUUAUCUGAUUGUAUUAUUCCAGCGGCUAAAUAUAAAGAUUUCCUUGUUAUCAAACUCUCAAAUCUUGAGAAGGAUCAAUCUUAAAAAAAUCCUUUUUCUUCUCCUUCUCCUCCUUCUUCUCUUCUCUCACUCCUUCCCCUUCUUUUUGUAUGUCUGUUUGCAAGAUGAAUAUAGACUGUUCCAGAAAAUUCUUAUUAAAAACUGUGUGGAAUAGGCAAGAGCUGAUGGGUUAUAAGCAAUUGGAUAUCUGGGCCUUAGUGUUUCCUGCAUGGAGGUGAAUUCCUUUGGCCACACCAGCCGUCCUGUAUUGUUUAUUACAGUCUGUAACCUCUCCCUUCAGCUAAAGGGGCAAAUUCAUGAAGGAGUUCACAGAGCUCUUCUGAUUUUUGAGGCAUUUAAGGCCAGCUAGAAUACACUUUAUUCAGCGUAAUUACACUUUUAAUUCAUAAGACUUAUAUAUUCAGGUGAAAACUGGCAGUUAAGAAGCCUCAGAGGCAGGGUUUAGAUUUUGAUUGUCAUUUACCACUGCUAGAAAGAAAUUGCAUCCUAGUGGGGUCGUAUCUCAAUGAAAACAAACCUUUCUCUUCCAUAGCACAUUGAUCAAAAGAAAGCUCAAGGUUACAAGGAUUCUCUGAAGUCCAUUGACUCUUUGCUGCUAAUUAGUAGCACAACUUAUUUGAGCAAAUUGAGAAUUUUGAUACCUACUUUGACUUGCUUUUAAUAUUGCUCUAAUUUCCCAUGAACAUGUUUUUGUUCUAAACUUGAUGCGGACAAAUGUACAAACUGUGGAUAGGCCAGUCUUAUUUAUUUAUUAAACAAAGUUAUGUUUUUAUUAGGUUUGGAAUUCACUUCUAGGCAGUUAAAAGAAAGGGGUUAUUAGUACCUUCCUUCUAAGGCCAUUUUGAAAUUUUAUGAAAAAAAAAAAGUAUGUGGUACAAAAUUGAUCUGGGUAUACAGCGGGUGAACUGAUUCUAAUCCUACUCUGUGUAUGGAACUAGAUCAAUUUCCCGGUGCUGGCUGUGGGCUUGGGAUGGUAUAUUUAUCUGGUGUUGGAGUCUAGUAAUAUCUUGUAUGCUUUUCCUAUCUGUGUGCUCUCUGGAACAAGUAACCUAGAGAGAGUGUGCCAUUGAGUGGGCUGUCAGAGAUGAAGCUAAGAAAUAGUCAACACCUUGACUUUGCUUAUUUCCUCAGUGUGAAUCAACUGGGGUGGCAGAAAAGGAUAAAAGCAGUGUGUCAGUGAGAGAACUACAGUUUCAUCCCCUGCUUUGGAGACAUUAUUCCCAAUAGCCUAGAGAUUUGUCAGUGACUUGGUAGAGCAUGAAUUCAGGUAUGUGCAUUAAUUAAACUUCCUUUUUGAAGAAUCUCCUCAGUGACUUCUAGACCUAGAAAUCUGCUGCUCCAAGUAAACCAUAGAUUUACACCAGAUCUUGACAUGUAAGACCAUCUAGCAUAAGAUGCUAAAAUAUAGUUUGGUCGUUUGCUUUGUAGUAGAAAUAGUCAUUGUAUCAUGAAUUCAUAUUUGCUAAGACUUGGGAAAUCUUUUGGUUAAGAUUUCCUCAGCCUGUUUGCUGCUACUGAAUUUUUUUUUUUCUUUUGGUUCAGCAAAGGCGAACUCCUUUAGGUCCUAUGACUAAUUUCCCCACAUCCAGAGAUUAUCUAAUGAGUUCCUUAGAAAACUUUGGAACAAAAUUAAUCCAAGAUUUACUGGGUGACUAAUCAUAUCUCUGGGGAAAUAAGCUGGCCCUUAGUUUACUGGUUAGUUGCAAAGAAUCCUGGCAAUGAAUAGAAACAAGGAUAAACAUCUAUUAUUUAAAAAAUUCAGAUGCUCUUGAUGUCCAUAUAAGACAUAUCCUCAGUUUCAAAUUUUCUUCCUAAAGCAUGACGUCUCUUCCUUGGCCAUCAUGAUUUAUCUGUUGAUAAAAUUUACCCUGUGUAUUCAUGAGAAUAUGAUUUAUAAAAGUUAAGAUAUAUACUGGAUCUUUAGCAUAUAAAAGCUUCUAAUGGAUUUUUUUUUGGAAGAGUAACUGUGAAAAGGAAGUUUGUUUAGAGCAGGAGUUGAGAAAACGUAUGGAAUAAAAGAAAGCAUAAGAUCGCCAGGUUCAUCUAUUUCAGAUUUUGAUGCAUCAGAGGAAAAUCAAUAUGGGUUCCAGAAGGCGUUUUAAGUAAUAAAAGGAUAUUACAUUUUUUUCCAUCAGAUAUUGUCAAAUUUGUGCUUACAUAAUGCUUCAAACAUUUUGAAAGAAUAGAGAAUG